UCAGAAACACUGUAAACUCUAGUCAUUUACAAAAGGCUGCAGGGAAUUUUCUCUUAGUCUCCUGGGUGUGUGUGAUUUACAGAAGCCCUUAGCAAGACAUUCACAGGUAUUUAGCGUGUCCCAUUCUUUAACCACAGGGCUGGAAAGAACAGACAGAUGUACCACCCAUAAUUCCUCCUACAUCCAGGGGCCUCCCCAAGUCCACAGUGCAUUUCACCUGGGGUGAGGCUCACCUCUCUGGGCCGCAGUCGCCAUGCAGACUGCUCUCUUUCCCGUGUACCUUGUUUUUUCGCUCUCUCUGUGCAUCCCACGAGGCGCUGCACUAACUGAUGGAAUGCACGCAGGUGCCAGAGAGGUAUUGGAAGCGCCAUGCAGAAAGAUUACUGCAGUUAGACUUCCUCGGAAGACAGGAUGCAAUGGAUAGAGUUCGGAGCUGAAGAGAGACUUUGAGUUGAUAAGCAGAAAAUCCCUUAUCUGCAUUUGACAGAGGCCUACAAAAAACUUUAAAUACCCGUGUAAAGCAUAUUUAAAGCAAUUUACAAGAUACUA